UGGCGGACGGGUGAGUAAUGUCUGGGAAACUGCCUGAUGGAGGGGGAUAACUACUGGAAACGGUAGCUAAUACCGCAUAACGUCGCAAGACCAAAGAGGGGACCUCGGGCCUCUUGCCAUCGGAUGUGCCCAGAUGGGAUUAGCUAGUAGGUGGGGUAAGGCUCACCUAGGCGACGAUCCCUAGCUGGUCUGAGAGGAUGACCAGCCACACUGGAACUGAGACACGGUCCAG
rnacentral:rRNA from 1 species